GGCAAGAUGGCCGAGUUGGUUAUGGCGCCAGGUUAAGGUCCUGGUGGAGCAAUCCUCCUGGGUUCGAGUCCCAGUCUUGUCA
rnacentral:tRNA from 1 species